AAUGAACGCUGGCGGCAGGCCUAACACAUGCAAGUCGAACGGUAGCACAGAGAGCUUGCUCUCGGGUGACGAGUGGCGGACGGGUGAGUAAUGUCUGGGAAACUGCCUGAUGGAGGGGGAUAACUACUGGAAACGGUAGCUAAUACCGCAUAACGUCGCAAGACCAAAGAGGGGGACCUUCGGGCCUCUUGCCAUCAGAUGUGCCCAGAUGGGAUUAGCUAGUAGGUGGGGUAACGGCUCACCUAGGCGACGAUCCCUAGCUGGUCUGAGAGGAUGACCAGCCACACUGGAACUGAGACACGGUCCAGACUCCUACGGGAGGCAGCAGUGGGGAAUAUUGCACAAUGGGCGCAAGCCUGAUGCAGCCAUGCCGCGUGUAUGAAGAAGGCCUUCGGGUUGUAAAGUACUUUCAGCGGGGAGGAAGGGAGUAAGGUUAAUAACCUUGCUCAUUGACGUUACCCGCAGAAGAAGCACCGGCUAACUCCGUGCCAGCCGCCGCCGUAAAAC
rnacentral:rRNA from 1 species